rnacentral:rRNA from 1 species
CGGGACACGUGGUAUCCUGUCUGAAUAUGGGGGGACCAUCCUCCAAGGCUAAAUACUCCUGACUGACCGAUAGUGAACCAGUACCGUGAGGGAAAGGCGAAAAGAACCCCGGCGAGGGGAGUGAAAAAGAACCUGAAACCGUGUACGUACAAGCAGUGGGAGCACGCUUAGGCGUGUGACUGCGUACCUUUUGUAUAAUGGGUCAGCGACUUAUAUUCUGUAGCAAGGUUAACCGAAUAGGGGAGCCGAAGGGAAACCGAGUCUUAACUGGGCGUUAAGUUGCAGGGUAUAGACCCGAAACCCGGUGAUCUAGCCAUGGGCAGGUUGAAGGUUGGGUAACACUAACUGGAGGACCGAACCGACUAAUGUUGAAAAAUUAGCGGAUGACUUGUGGCUGGGGGUGAAAGGCCAAUCAAACCGGGAGAUAGCUGGUUCUCCCCGAAAGCUAUUUAGGUAGCGCCUCGUGAAUUCAUCUCCGGGGGUAGAGCACUGUUUCGGCAAGGGGGUCAUCCCGACUUACCAACCCGAUGCAAACUGCGAAUACCGGAGAAUGUUAUCACGGGAGACACACGGCGGGUGCUAACGUCCGUCGUGAAGAGGGAAACAACCCAGACCGCCAGCUAAGGUCCCAAAGUCAUGGUUAAGUGGGAAACGAUGUGGGAAGGCCCAGACAGCCAGGAUGUUGGCUUAGAAGCAGCCAUCAUUUAAAGAAAGCGUAAUAGCUCACUGGUCGAGUCGGCCUGCGCGGAAGAUGUAACGGGGCUAAACCAUGCACCGAAGCUGCGGCAGCGACGCUGAUGCGUUGUUGGGUAGGGGAGCGUUCUGUAAGCCUGUGAAGGUGUGCUGUGAGGCAUGCUGGAGGUAUCAGAAGUGCGAAUGCUGACAUAAGUAACGAUAAAGCGGGUGAAAAGCCCGCUCGCCGGAAGACCAAGGGUUCCUGUCCAACGUUAAUCGGGGCAGGGUGAGUCGACCCCUAAGGCGAGGCCGAAAGGCGUAGUCGAUGGGAAACAGGUUAAUAUUCCUGUACUUGGUGUUACUGCGAAGGGGGGACGGAGAAGGCUAUGUUGGCCGGGCGACGGUUGUCCCGGUUUAAGCGUGUAGGCUGGUUUUCCAGGCAAAUCCGGAAAAUCAAGGCUGAGGCGUGAUGACGAGGCACUACGGUGCUGAAGCAACAAAUGCCCUGCUUCCAGGAAAAGCCUCUAAGCAUCAGGUAACAUCAAAUCGUACCCCAAACCGACACAGGUGGUCAGGUAGAGAAUACCAAGGCGCUUGAGAGAACUCGGGUGAAGGAACUAGGCAAAAUGGUGCCGUAACUUCGGGAGAAGGCACGCUGAUAUGUAGGUGAAGCGACUUGCUCGUGGAGCUGAAAUCAGUCGAAGAUACCAGCUGGCUGCAACUGUUUAUUAAAAACACAGCACUGUGCAAACACGAAAGUGGACGUAUACGGUGUGACGCCUGCCCGGUGCCGGAAGGUUAAUUGAUGGGGUCAGCGCAAGCGAAGCUCUUGAUCGAAGCCCCGGUAAACGGCGGCCGUAACUAUAACGGUCCUAAGGUAGCGAAAUUCCUUGUCGGGUAAGUUCCGACCUGCACGAAUGGCGUAAUGAUGGCCAGGCUGUCUCCACCCGAGACUCAGUGAAAUUGAACUCGCUGUGAAGAUGCAGUGUACCCGCGGCAAGACGGAAAGACCCCGUGAACCUUUACUAUAGCUUGACACUGAACAUUGAGCCUUGAUGUGUAGGAUAGGUGGGAGGCUUUGAAGUGUGGACGCCAGUCUGCAUGGAGCCGGCCUUGAAAUACCACCCUUUAAUGUUUGAUGUUCUAACGUUGACCCGUGAUCCGGGUUGCGGACAGUGUCUGGUGGGUAGUUUGACUGGGGCGGUCUCCUCCUAAAGAGUAACGGAGGAGCACGAAGGUUGGCUAAUCCUGGUCGGACAUCAGGAGGUUAGUGCAAUGGCAUAAGCCAGCUUGACUGCGAGCGUGACGGCGCGAGCAGGUGCGAAAGCAGGUCAUAGUGAUCCGGUGGUUCUGAAUGGAAGGGCCAUCGCUCAACGGAUAAAAGGUACUCCGGGGAUAACAGGCUGAUACCGCCCAAGAGUUCAUAUCGACGGCGGUGUUUGGCACCUCGAUGUCGGCUCAUCACAUCCUGGGGCUGAAGUAGGUCCCAAGGGUAUGGCUGUUCGCCAUUUAAAGUGGUACGCGAGCUGGGUUUAGAACGUCGUGAGACAGUUCGGUCCCUAUCUGCCGUGGGCGCUG